GAUGGCGUCACAGACAUGUACGA
rnacentral:piRNA from 1 species